rnacentral:rRNA from 1 species
UACGUAGGCAGCAAGCGUUGUUCGGAGUUACUGGGCGUAAAGGGUGUGUAGGCGGUUGGAUAAGUGUGGUGUGAAAAUCUCCCGGCUUAACUGGGAGGGUGCGCUACAAACUGUCUGACUAGAGUGUGGGAUGGGUAAGUGGAAUUCCUGGUGUAGCGGUGAAAUGCGUAGAUAUCAGGAGGAACACCGGUGGUGUAGACGGCUUACUGGACCAUAAACUGACGCU